rnacentral:rRNA from 1 species
UACAGUGGGUGCGAGCGUUAAUCGGAAUUACUGGGCGUAAAGCGUGCGUAGGCGGUCGUGUAAGUCGGGUGUGAAAGACCCGGGCUCAACCUGGGAAUUGCAUUCGAGACUGCACGGCUGGAGUGCGGAAGAGGGAAGUGGAAUUUCCGGUGUAGCGGUGAAAUGCGUAGAUAUCGGAAGGAACAUCAGUGGCGAAAGCGGCUUCCUGGUCCAGCACUGACGCUCAGGCACGAAAGAGUGGGGAGCAAACAGG